UGUAUGCCUCACGGUCUUAUAUUAUAUGUAAAUUAAUUUUUAUUCUACAUUUUACUUAAUUCAUUCAUAAACAAUAAUUAAAGUAUUUUUCUUACAUUCGUUUCUAUGGGUGAUUUGAGUUGUAGAGUGAGAUUUGCCAACAGAGGUGUAAUAAGUAGGUACAAGUGAUAAAUUAACCAAAAACAAAAGUUAAAAUAGACUUUUAUAACUGAGACACCGAGACACUACUACAAUGGCAUACUACAAUGGUAACGAAGCAAUACGGUCUGGAUAAUUUUACUGGGAGUUAGAUGAGGAGGAGGAGGCGAGGAUAUUCGUCGAGGGAUGAAAGGGAAUACUGUUUCCAAAGACUCGAUGAUCCGGAAUUAAACAAUUUGGAAUUAGAUAGCGAGAUGGACAAAGACUGCUCUUGCCCACUAAAAAGACAGCGACCACAUUCCGACUGAGGAGGACGAUACCACGGGGCCAUGAUCAAAGUAGAAAAAAAAACAAUGACGUAAAAGAGGAAUUUUUUGAAGCCUUAGUGAAAAAAGCAGUACCGAGAAUCAUAUUGCAAAAUCAUUCAAAAGUUUUCUGACAAACCAUACCUAUCAGGAAACGAUUGACAGAGAUGUAUGUAAUAUCGUUGUAGUAUACUCAGUCUAUUCUACUUCAGUUCUAGCCACCUGCCACUGUAAGACCGCGAAAGAGACAAAAGCUAUAAAAAAAAAUGUGAUUAGAGAGGGUAUACUCGUUAGCCGACGACGACGUAGAGGAUCUAACGAUGACUUCAGAGGAGAGCGGAUCGUCAACCACGUCGAGUGUGGUGGAUCUGACGGAACUAACUGAUAGCGACGCGGAGAGCUGCGAAUCACCAUAAUUACUCUAACGGAUGAAGAGUCUGAAAGUUGUAGUACCGACGAUGACGACAUCGAUAGUGAUGAUGACACCGAUCGAAAGGGUUAAUGAGUAUCGCUGUACUUCAGUUCUAACUUCGUCACUGCCACUUUUUCAAAAUGUCACAAACCAAAACACCAAAUUAUUCCAAAAAGGUGUGUAUAAAUUGUCCUUUAAACGCGGACCAUACAAUUCUGGCAAAAAAAAAUACAUCAGCACCUUAGAAGGAAGCAUGGUGUUGAGUGUGGGAUAUAUGGGAGGUGGUUGUUGACGCGGUCUUCAGAAUAAAAGAAGAUUGGGAGGAUGAGACAAGUUCCGGCAUUAGUUAACCGUGUUAAUGUUUAUUUUCCUAUGUUUUGGCUUGUAUA